rnacentral:tRNA from 1 species
GCGGGGGUCGCCAAGCCUGGUCAAAGGCGCAGGGCUGAGGCCCCUCUGGACACUAGGGGUUCGUGGGUUCAAAUCCCACCCCCCGCA